AUGCUGGAGCCCAGGAGCCAGACGCCACCAUCGACGACGACUCCUACUACACCAGAGGUGCCUACUACUACGUGCAGGCCGCUGACGACGACCAGGAGUAGUUUAGGAGGAUCCCAGGCAGGAGGCCUGCGCCUCUUUCGAUCGGUAUCCCAGUUUGUGCUAGCCUUCUUAAGGCAAACUUGUUUAACUUAUGUCUGUACUCACAUAUUGUUGCUUCCGCUGACUCAUCUAUAA
rnacentral:rRNA from 1 species